rnacentral:rRNA from 1 species
UACGAAGGGGGCUAGCGUUGUUCGGAAUUACUGGGCGUAAAGCGCGCGCAGGCGGUUCUCCAAGUCAGUGGUGAAAGCCCGGAGCUCAACUCCGGAAUUGCCAUUGAAACUGUCGAACUCGAGGACGAGAGAGGUGAGUGGAAUUCCCAGUGUAGAGGUGAAAUUCGUAGAUAUUGGGAAGAACACAGGUGGCGAAAGCGGCUCACUGGCUCGUUUCUGACGCUCAUGCGCGACAGCGUGGGGAU